GCUGCGCCUGCGCGGGACGCGCGUCACUGUGACGCAGCGCCGGGGCGGGGCGGGGCGGGGCGGCGGGAAGGGCGGGGCCGGGAGCACCUGCGGGCCCCGGCGUGCGGUCUGCUGGAGGGCGUCCUGACGGCGCCUCCACCGCGGCGAGUCCGGGCUGUGGCCGGCGGUGGGAAGCAGGCGAGGCGCGCCCGAGGAGAGGGGACGGUGAGGGAAGAAGCUCCAGGGACGUGGGACAAUGGCCGAGAAAAGUAGCGCGAGCUGUCGGGGGAAAUCGGAGGGAAGGGACUGCGUGCGCACCUGACUGCGUCCUGGGGCAGGGGGCCGAGGGCAGCGCGUGCUUUACCCUUUUAAAGGUUCACCGCAUUUCCCGCCCAAGUUUAAGCAAGGCGAGAGAAAAAACCAAAUAUACAUUCAUGUGUAUAUAUACACUUUUGUGUCGACAGUUUUAUUUCUGGGAACCCAAUUUGAAGGAAUUUUGUUGAUUUUAUUGCUGUUUAAACAAGAGUAGAGAAGCCCACCAUCUGAAUGCAGCGUUGGCUAAAGGUCAGCGGGAGACCCUGUCCUGCCCCCAUCAGUUAGCUGUCUCCACUGCAGACUGGGUGGAAAGGCAAAAGGUCGUGGAAAAUGUGAAGGCACACGAAGUCCGGGAUUCAAAACAGCAGACAUUAACCAUGGCACUAGAUGGUUGAGUGACAUGGUCACCAGGCCAGACUCCACAUCAGCACUUUUGCAUGUCUGAAGAUGAUUGAGAAUUUACUUAUUUGUUUUGAGAGAGAGAAAGAGAGAGAGAGAAUCUCAGGCAGACUCUGCACUGUUAGCACAGAGACCAACCUGGGACUUGAGCUUACGAACCCCAUGAGAUCAUGACCUGAGCCGAAAUCAAGAGUCAGACGCUUAACCGACUGAGCCACCCAGGCACCCCUGUUUUAUUGUAAGUUUUGAAAAUGGGGCAGAAUGCCAAAACAACCUUGUAUCCCAAGGUAAGUUCUACGUGGUCAUUGUCUCAUGCUGCUGGAUUUGAUUUCCUCGUUUAUGUUCAUGUGGCAUAAUGUGAUGACUUUGGCCUCAACGAGCUUGGAAGUGGAUUCUUUUCCAAAGCCUCUAGUUAGAAGCCUGGUCCAGCUAAUGCCUUGAUUUGAGCCAUGUGACACACUGAGCAAGAGAGCCCUGUUGAGUCUGCCUGGACUUCUGACCUACAAGAAGGUGAGUUAACAAAUAUGUGUCGAUUGAGCUGCUAAAUUUGUGAUAAUUUGUUACGUAGCAGUAGAAAACUAAUAUACUUUGUCCAGUUUUACUCUGCCAUAGCUAGAAGUCCACCCACGUGGCAGACUUAAUUUCAAAAACUAAAAUCAAGAUUUCUGGCCCCUCUUGAAAAAUGAGAUCUUGCAACUUGAGAUUUUAAUUUCUCCCAUGUCAAACCACCUGCUAGAGCUGAGCAGUGGCUCUCUGCCACCCCCCCCCCCCCCACACACACCCGCCUUGUUAGCCAGGGCCUCGCUUCUCCUUCAUCUGCUCUGGUCCUUCACCCCAGGCCUACAUCUCUAAUUACUGGCCUGGCCAUGGGACAUCUGAAUCUGGAACACCUGAUCAGCACAUGCCCAACUUGUCGUGAGCACUCAGUAAGUAUUUGUUGAAUAAAUGAACCAAACCACAGACCCAGUGACAUGGGGGAAUUUUACUAAGAGUGCGUGAAUGGACAUUUGGGAUGAGUGAGGUUGAGGGCAGUAUACCCUCAGUGCACUCCCAGAGGAGUUCUGGGUGUGGCGCACAGAGCCUCUCUGUCUAAAGGAGAUUCCCUGGAAGUCCCGUUGAUUUUCACAUGCAUCCAUUGGCUGUAGUGUGUCAUAUGACCAGCCCUAGUUCCAAAGGAGGCCGAGAAAUGUGGUUUUCAGCGCCUCACGUGCCAUCCCCAUUCCCACAAGGAAAUCAGGUUCUUACAGAAAGGAGAAAGGAACAUGGAUAUUGGGUUAGUGACUGGCAGUUUCAAUACCUAGAUAUUGAAAAGGAACAAAACCAGCACCCCAGAGGCCCUUGUGCCCUUCCCCUCUCAGUGUUUCCCCCAAUGGUAGCCACUCGUGACCUCUUGUAGCGUUGCUUACUAUAAAAUGGAAUGAAAUGGAGUGUGUUCUUUUGAGUCUGGCUUCGUUUGCUUGCAGCAUGAAUGUUAAAGAAAAAAUAGAACCAGUAUCAGAACAACUCAGGUUUUCUAACACAAGACUUAUGAGCCUUGAGGAAAUCAAGAUUGUCAGCGAUGAAAUUAUCCACUUCCAUUCCUUGAGUUAGUUAUCACUAACUACCCAUUUGCCCUUCAGCCAUGGACAGUCCAGAAAAAUGACCACGAAGAAUAGUAACAAUGUUCUUUCUCAUGGAACGUACCAAAAAUAUUUUUAUUUUUAUAAUUUUUAAAAACAGUUUUAUUCAUUGGAGAGAGAGAACGAUCACAUGAGUGGUGGAGGGGCAGAGGGAGAGAAAGUGAGAGAAUCCCAAGCAGUCUCCACACCGUCAGCGCAGAGCCCGGUGCGGGACUUCAUCUCACAAACCAUGAGAUCAUGACCCGAGCCGAAACUGAGAGCCGGACGCUUAACCGCUGAGCCACACAGGCGUCCCAGUAAAAGAAUCCUUUUUAAACGGCCCGUAAACGUAUGGACACAGAAUGGAUGGCCUAGUGCUGGUGGGAGGAGGGUCUCAGGGGCCCCUGCUAGGCCAGGCUUCAGCCUUCAGUUACUGGAUGGUAAGGAGGUCACGGGUAGGUGGGAGAGGAGAGGGGAUGGCCCGGCCACGGGACUGGGAGGCUGCAGGCAAUGGCUGUGUGUCAGUCUCUGCAGAAUAAGCUCAGGGUUUUGGUGUCGGUGGAGUGCUGGCUGCGUGUUAGCUCUGCUCUUUGCUUCACAGUGUGAAGAUUGAGUGGCCUCUGUGAAACUAGCCGCAAGGUAUUCUGGCACCGUACGGGCCACUGCAGCUCAAAUGAGGUGUCUGUCUUCAUGAAGGGACAGCUGCAGCUGGCUCUGGUCUUCCCCUUUCUUCCUGCCCCAGUUGGGCAUGAUGCCUGGAAUAGGAGCUGCCAUCUUGCAACCAGGAAGGGGAGGCCAAGAGAAUCACAGCAGUGCUGGCUCUGGACCUCAGGAGCUGCUGAACAAAUGCUAACAGCUGCCUGCUGCAGACUUCGUGUUCUAUGAAAAAAUAGAAAACUCGUUUGUUCAUUAUGCUCACUUAUAGCUGAAAGCCUUCCUAACCAUGAGAACUAGUAUACAUUCUUGUCAUGGACAGGCAAAAAAAAAAAAAAAAAAAAAAAGGUAGUGGGGGUGGGGGGCUAAGGAUUUUCCAAGUCUAGUUAAUUCAUCAGAAUUUGUAGAAGCUUGUUCUCAAAAGCACGGGAGGUAUCGAGUCCUGCUGGGGUCAGGUCAAAACGACACAGAAGCCGACUAGAGGAGACCUCACUGGCCAAGGAGGGGGACAAUUUGAACAUUGGAAAACAAUGUCUACACGGGAUUAAAUUGAGUUAAGAGUGGACAAAGGCACUUAUCCAAGCACUUACGUUGCCCUUCUGGUAUGAACUGUAUUUCAGAGCAACCAAAGAGGUAAUAAGGAGUUCUUUAGAGAAGAAUUCCAGUUACUACAGACAGAAGGAAUGAUACAGUUAGAAAACCCCCACGCGGGAACACAUGAUGAAAUAAGGAAUCCAGGCAGCCACCGUCAGGAAGUAUUAGGUGAGAGGUCGACAGGGAACCUUUGGAUGGACCGUGCUGAUAACACCUGAACCCACUGAUCGAUUUUUGCAUCUCUAAAAGUGGGACAGUCAGACAUCAUGUACCUCGUGAUGUAAUACGUCAGAAAGUCCACAGCAUCUGUGAAUCUAAUCCAGCUUUUGCAGUAAAUACAAGAACAGGCUGAAUGACACGAGGAGGAAACCGUCAGCCAAGUCCAGAAGGUAGGAUAUUACACUGGACAGUGACUCAUUUCUCCCCUUCCUCAAGUAAAUGGCAUGAAAACAGGGAGGGGAGAAGAACUUACAGAGUAAAAGAGACUUAAGUGUUCUUUCGAUCAAAUAUGAUGUGUAGAUCUUAUUUGGAUCCUAGUUUGAAUGAGAUAACUAUAAAAAUACUAUUGGAGCUUAGGAAAAUUUGAUAUGUUCUGGGUAUUACCUCACAUGAUAAUUGCAUUCUGGGUUUGUUUGGUUUUUUUUUAAUGCUUAUUUUUGUGAGAGAGACGGAGACAGAGUGUGAGUGGGGGAGGAGCAGAGAAGGAGACACAGAAUCUGAAGCAGGCUCCAGGCUCUGAACUGUCAAUACAGGGUCCGACGUGGACUUGAACUAACAAACCGAGAGAUCAUGACCUGAGCUGAAGUUGGGCGCUUAACCGACUGAGCCACCCAGGUGCCACUGUGGUUGUUUUUAAAGAAGUUAUUCUUUGAUACAGAUACCCCCUGAAAUAUACAGACAAAAAUUGUGUGUAUGUGAUGGGGGAGGUUAUAGAGACAAAUCCGGUAGCCUAUGAAAGGGUUUGUUGUAUUUAUUCUCCACUCUUAUGUAUGGUUGAACAUUUUGUAUAAAAUUUUUAAAAGUGUUACUAUUUUAAUUUGAUUUUCCUGCAUUCUAGAUGCUAACAGCAACAAAAAUGAGAAAGCAAUUUAAAAAAAAGAACAAUCCUGUCAAUGUCCCUAAAUUCUGUUUCCUUUCCUUCAUGAGGUUAUCUUCAUUAAAGCCGAAAUAAAUGCUAUCAUCGCAAAGCUAGGAUAUAAAACAAUGUCGUGUGGCUACUUGAAAGCAUAGGAUGUUAGGGGCACUUUAGAGAUAUUAGUCCUGCCUAGCAUGCCUUCAGUGUUCUCACCCAUGCGUGGGACACCCAGCUUGCUUCUCCAUUCUGUUCCUGCAUGUUGCCAGAGCAUCUCACACUUUCCAUUGACUUGUAAUGACUUGUCCAACCUCUUCUACCAGACUCUGAGCCAUCCCCUCCUUAAAUCUCAAUCAAGGGCCAAAAAUCAGUGCCAAAUGUGCCGUCUCCAAUGCUCCCUCAACCCCCAACCUCUCACAACAAAUUCAUAGUGUCUCUGCCAUGACACUCUUGUAUCUUCCUAGAAGACAUCACUCCAAUUUGUUUUAAGCAAGGGAGAUGAUAAGUAAGUAUAUUACAUAGACAAGAUUGCACUAUUUUUAAAACUGGUAACAAUACAUGGAAUCGUUAGCACUCACGUUUUCAGAGCUAGUAACUCUUCCUUUAUUUCUCCUCUAGCCUCUAAUUUGCUGAGUCAAGAAGAGGAAACCAGAAAAUAUCUUUAAUGUUUCUUGAAUUUUGAUCCCAAAGUCAGGGGCACUGUGGUAUACAUAGCAAUCCACUCCUAACUGAUAUUAACCUUGGUUUUCUCUGAGCCUCGAUGACCACUCUGAGGCAGCCUUUGGUAGGUCAUACUCAGGUGCUACACUCGGACCCCCUUCAGGAAAGACCUGUCUUUUUUCUGAUACCCCCAAAGUUACCAAUCACAGUGAUGGAAAGGUAAACUGAAUAUGCACGUCCUAUCCUCAUUUCUUACUUCCGUGUCCCUCAGGUCUUAGCUGCAAUGUAGGUUAUAGCCUCUGGUUUACCUCCUCCCCAGUCUGGGUUGGGUGGCCUCCUUUGUGUUCCCAUAACACAUCACAGGCCAUGUGGCAUGACCUUUCCGACACACAGUUACAAUAAUCUCUUACAUUCGCUCUAGAUUAUAAGCUCCUCCGAGAUGGAGACUGGAAGUGUUCACCAUUGUAUCCCCAGUGUUUGCACGUGGGAGCUACUCAAUGACCAUCUGUUCAGUAAAUAUACGAGUAGUCGAAUGAGUGGCUUUCAAGACUCGAAAGUUCAGACUUGAGACUCUAAAUUUAGGGCAUCCUACUUCUUAAGGUGUCAAAUACCCUUUGUCCUCAAAGUUUAAUUUAAAGGAACGUUGUUAAAAGGGGAGGGACCUAGUCCUCAGAAAGCAAUGGAAAGAUUGGACGGGAGAAGUGGGGGGGGGGGGCAUGUUAUGCAGGUGCCCACCACACCUCUCUCUCUUUCUCUUCUCUGUCUCUCUCUCAAGCCACUCCUGGAAUGGCCAGCCUGAGGUUUUACUUGUCUUUAUACAGUCCUCUGUUCUGCCCCUUUGAGUGGAGGAGGGUUGGGGGCAUAGGUGGUGGUAAAAGGAACAGACUGCUGGCAAGAAUUGAGCCCUCCUUUAAUGACACUUAACACACUCCCUUAUAGCGCCCAGGGGCUUGACUCACCAGAGCUGACUAAACUCUGGUCCCCCAUCAGCAUUGGGGCCCUCCCCAGGGGGGGCCUUUGCCUGGACCUGACACUAAUUAGUAGAUCUCAGUCUGCAGUGAGGGUGGCUGUGGGUUAUUCAUGAGAAUCCCCCAUACUUCCUAAGUAGUAAACUUGCAGUUACUCAAGCUAAUGGAGUAUUUGGGUGAGUUCAGAGCCAAGAGAAGGGCCAGAAAUUAUCAUAAUCCAAACAGAGUGAAGAUAGAAGAUGGUUUCUUUUAUAAUCAGUGAGCUGAGUCUAACUCCACACCAAAUGAAAUCGACCAAAAUGACCUACAUCAGAUUUCAGCGGCUAAUCACGGGUGUAAACCAGGGAGGGAAAUCAUUAGUCUCAACCAGUUGAGGUUUAAUGAACAUGAAAUGCAGUGCCCUGAACGUCUACACACUCAGGACUGAAUUGUUCAAAUCAUUAAUAUUAACAAAGGUAUCUUUGCACAGAUUCACCCAUCAUUAGUUGUGGAGGAAAAUACCAGUUUUAUUAUCAUGGUGAUCAUAUAUUCAACAUCUACAAUGGCCUGCCCCAGCUGAAAGACCAUUUAGGAAAGGAAAAAGGGUAGGGACUCUUGGGCCUGAGGCCACAUUCGGGGCUCAGGGCCAGCUACCCCACCAUCCCGAGCAUCAGGAACAUGCAAAUUCUAAAGCUGUGCAUUUGUCCUUGAGGAAACUACAGUUCAUUGCCGUUAAAGUGUGGUCAAGUAAGGGCCAGUGCAUAGUGGAGACAUGCCGGAUCCUUGGUUUUAGAGACGGGGAAAAAAGAAUGUUUCCAUAAGCAGAUAUGCGUAUUGCUUUUGACUGAUACGGAGUGUUUGUCCUUGCAAGGUUUUGAUAUCCACUGAUCUCUAAAUUCCGUAAGGGUAGGAACCUUAUGUAUUUCGUUGACCACUGUAGCUCUAGCACCCUGCACUGGUACAAAGCACAGACGAAGCUCAAUAAAUAUUUGUCCACUGGAUGAACCAAUGGGUAUACUGUGUCAUGCUCAUUUAGGGAAAGAAAACUGAGAAGCAGAGAAGGGAACUGAUUUAUUUGAGUCGGCGGUCACUAGCUCAGCACUUGCCCAUAUGACUCAUUACUGUUAGCUGCUCAUAAAACAUAGCCAAAUGUCUGUCCUGGUGUUCCUGUAAUAUUUUUCCAAAAGGUAGGAAAAUACAGAGACAUGAAUACAUGACAGGUACAUGCAGAACUAGGGAGAAGUCUCGUGUCUGAACAGCGGUAUCUACAAUCCACUUUUCACACAACUAUAGACGUGAAGAAAAAUCUUAGGAAGAGAAGAAGCAGGGGCCAGAGCACGGGUGUUGGUGUCUUCAACCACGGAAUGACAGUCUCCAAGCCCCUUUCUGUUAUGCUACGCUACAGCUUUGCUCUCUGGCCCCGGUGUAUGUCAGCUAAUCUUCUUACGUUGGUAGAGGACACAACAAGGAAUUUAUGUAGGUCAGGGAAUAUUUUGAAAUUCCAAACAGAAGAGCUGCUAAUGAAUUUAGUUUAGGGUGUCUUGCCACCAGAAAAAUGAUAGACCUUUCCAAACACCUUUGGCUGUUUGCUCAUCAAGAAAAGCCACACGUUUUUCUCUCUGUAAAAAGUGUCAAAGAGAAAAAACAGGCAGACUGCAAUUGUGCUCCUGAAGGCCCGAGGCCUGGGGCUGUUGUUAAAUUCAGUGUCUAUCACGACAGCCCCAGAGAACUAUAAGAAAGCUCCCCUCUGAAGGCACGUGAGGUCAGCGUCUUGUUCCCAGUCACGGAGAUGACUCAGAGCGUAGAGUGAAAUGCCCAGCCUGUGGGACAAAAGCAAAGUUUGCCCAGGUUUCUUUUGUUUGUAACAGUGCUGAUGAUGACUUCC